UAAUUAUCCAGGUCUCAGCACUGCACACUCCCUGAACUUAACUCACCUACAGAGGGAAAAAAAAUCAGCAUCAUGUCAGAAUUUUCACCAGAAACCAUGCAAGGAAGAAGACAGGGGGGUGAAGUUCAGUUUUGAAAGAAAAAAAAACAAAACACUGACCUAGAAUUUUGUACCCAGCAUUUGUAUCCUUCAAAAGUACAGACUUUCUCAGAUAAACAAAAAUAUAAGGAAUUUUGUCACCAGUAGAUCCACUUUGCAAGAAACAUUUUAAAAAGUUCUUCAGAGAGAAGGAAACGGAUAAGUGUCAGAAGUUUGGAUCUGUGUAAAGGGAAGAGAGUCGAAGAAGAAAUAAGUGAGUGUUAGGUUGUUCUCGGAAGCCCUCACGGUUGACAGUGUUGAAUGUUACUUGAACUCCAAGCUUCUAGUGCAGAUUGAUCCAUCUCCAAUGUUUUGUGUUCAGAGAAAAGGCUCGAAAGGAAUCCAUCCUCCCCAUAGGAUUAGUUAAGACCCACAGGAGCCCCUUGAUUACUUAGGAAAAGACCAGACACAGACCUUCCACAUUCAUUCUUUGCCUCUUAAAUGAGCUGAGCUACUUUGUCCGCACUGAUCAGGGGGAACAAAAUGUGUGUUGGUCAACCUUUGGCGAAGCUUCUCUCCUGCCCCAGGUGGCUGAACUUUGCCCAUCCUCAGCCUGAGUCAGCAGGCAGCCCCUCCUGAGCACCGGCUGGCCCCUGGCAGAACAUUCUUUGAUCUCCCAUCCAGUCAUACUCUCCUUCCCCCACCCAUCCACAACUGUCUUCCCACCUUAUUUACUCCUUUUAUAAGAGGAAAACCCAUUUUGCCUAAUUCUGGAGAUGCUUGCAGAUCUUCAGGUCAGAACACUACCUACCUCCAUGGCCCCCUCCCCCUCACCCCCUCUCAAUCAUCCAUUUGAAUAAAGGCCUCCCCUUCCUAAGUCAGGAUUUGUUUCUUAUUUGAUUGAAAUCUUUUCUCUUGCUGGGUUGGCAUUUGUUGUGACACCUUUCAAAAAGACUACUCCCCUCACCUCAGCCGAACAAGGGGAAUUUUCUCCCUUUUGCACCAGGAAGCUGGUGGGGGGUAUCAGAGGUAAGAUCCGUGACAACGUGAGGGGUCCUUGCUUAAACUGUUAGUCCAUUGUCAGCUUCCAGCACUUUGUUGCAGGCACCGCAUAAGCUCCCCUAUCUGCUCCUGGCCCCAGUGGCUUCUGCAGGGAGGCUGGUCUCUUUCUUUUUUCUUUCUUUCUUUUUUUUUUUCCCCAGGGCCGCACUAAGGAAUAUGAAAGUUCCCAGGCUAGGGGUCAAAUUGGAACUUCAGCUCCCAGCCUAAAUCACAGCCACAGCAACUCAGAAUCCUUGACCCAUGAAGCGAGGCCAGGGAUCGAACCUGUGUCCUCAUGGAUACUAGUUGGGUUUGUUUCCGCUGAGCCACAAUGGGAGCUCCCUGUCCAGUUCUUUUCUCCUUCCGAGGGAUGGAGACAUGACUUCACAGUUUUUGUUUUGUCUUUACACUUAAAUAAUGCUUUAAAUUCCCACAAGAAUUACACACUAGUAGCCUAUGAGUUCACCUGUUCUUUUCAGAUAACACAACCAUUAAAAAAUGUGUGUAAGCUGUGUCCCAUCUCUGGAUUUGUUUUCCCCAUUUAAUGUGAGCGAUCUUCCC
rnacentral:lncRNA from 1 species